GUGGGGAAUAUUGGACAAUGGGCGAAAGCCUGAUCCAGCCAUGCCGCGUGUGUGAAGAAGGUCUUCAGAUUGUAAAGCACUUUAAGUUGGGAGGAAGGGCAGUAAGUUAAUACCUUGCUGUUUUGACGUUACCGACAGAAUAAGCACCGGCUAACUUCGUGCCAGCAGCCGCGGUAAUACGAAGGGUGCAAGCGUUAAUCGGAAUUACUGGGCGUAAAGCGCGCGUAGGUGGUUCAGCAAGUUGAAGGUGAAAUCCCCGGGCUCAACCUGGGAACUGCCUCCAAAACUACUGAGCUAGAGUACGGUAGAGGGUAGUGGAAUUUCCUGUGUAGCGGUGAAAUGCGUAGAUAUAGGAAGGAACACCAGUGGCGAAGGCGACUACCUGGACUGAUACUGACACUGAGGUGCGAAAGCGUGGGGAGCAAACAGGAUUAGAAACCCGAGUAGUCC
rnacentral:rRNA from 1 species